AUUGAACGCUGGCGGCAUGCCUUACACGUGCAAGUCGAACGGCAGCACGGGUGCUUGCACCUGGUGGCGAGUGGCGAACGGGUGAGUAAUACAUCGGAACGUACCUUAUCGUGGGGGAUAACGCAGCGAAAGCUGUGCUAAUACCGCAUACGCCCUGAGGGGGAAAGCGGGGGAUCGCAAGACCUCGCGCGAUUAGAGCGGCCGAUGCCUGAUUAGCUUGUUGGUGGGGUAAAAGCCCACCAAGGCGACGAUCAGUAGCUGGUCUGAGAGGACGAUCAGCCACACUGGGACUGAGACACGGCCCAGACUCCUACGGGAGGCAGCAGUGGGGAAUUUUGGACAAUGGGGGCAACCCUGAUCCAGCAAUGCCGCGUGAGUGAAGAAGGCCUUCGGGUUGUAAAGCUCUUUUGUCAGGGAAGAAACACCGGCUCUAACACAGUCCGGGAAUGACGGUACCCGAAGAAUAAGCACCGGCUAACUACGUGCCAGCCGCCGCAGUAA
rnacentral:rRNA from 1 species